GACGAACGCUGGCGGCGCGCUUAACACAUGCAAGUCGAACGGAAAGGCCUGCUUUCCCUUGUGGAUUGCGGGUACUCGAGUGGCGAACGGGUGAGUAACACGUGAGUGAUCUGCCCCCAACUUGGGUAUAAGCCUGGGAAACUGGGUCUAAUUCCCGAUAGGACUGCAGGGUGGUGCCGGUGGUGGAAAACGAUUUUCUAGUGGUUGGGGAUGAGCUCGCGGCCUAUCAGCUUGUUGGUGGGGUAAUGGCCUACCAAGGCGGCGACGGGUAGCCGGCCUGAGAGCGUGUACAGCGACAUUGGGACUCAGAGACGCCCCCGACGCCUACGAGAGGCAGCGGCGGGGAACAUAGAACAAUGGGCGGAAGCCUGAUGCAGCGACGCCGAGCGGGGGGUCUCGGCCUUCGGGUUGGAAGCUCCUUUCGCCCGCGAGGACGCCACCUGGUUGGAAGGGUGGUGACGGUAGUGGUAGAAGAAGCACCGGCUAACUACGUG
rnacentral:rRNA from 1 species